rnacentral:sRNA from 1 species
GCUGGGCAUGGUGGUGCACACUUGUAAUCCCAGUGACUUGGAGGCUGAGGCAGGAGGAACACAAGUUCAAUGACAGCUUGAGAAACUUAGUGAGAUCCAGUCCCUA